rnacentral:rRNA from 1 species
UACGGGGGGGGCAAGCGUUGUUCGGAAUUACUGGGCGUAAAGGGUCUGUAGGUGGCCAACUAAGUCAGACGUGAAAUCCCUCAGCUUAACUGGGGAACUGCGUCUGAUACUGGUUGGCUUGAGUGCAGGAGAGGAAUGCGGAAUUCCAGGUGUAGCGGUGAAAUGCGUAGAUAUCUGGAGGAACACCGGUGGCGAAGGCGGCGUUCUGGACUGCAACUGACACUGAGAAACGAAAGCCAGGGUAGCAAACGGG